AAUACAACUUUCAGCAACGGAUCUCUUGGCUCUCGCAUCGAUGAAGAACGCAGCGAAAUGCGAUAAGUAGUGUGAAUUGCAGAAUUCAGUGAAUCAUCGAAUCUUUGAACGCACCUUGCGCCCUUUGGCUAUUCCGAAGGGCAUGCCUGUUUGAGUAU
rnacentral:rRNA from 1 species